rnacentral:lncRNA from 1 species
GAAAUUCUUUUUACUCUUAGAAUAUUGUUAAUAUUAGACUUCCUGUUAUAUUAUAUCUUUUGUACUUCUUACAUUUAUAUAGUGCCUAAUACUUUCCUGACUUCUUUCACAUAUACGGAUCUUUGUGAGAUGGUAGAUGCUUUAUUCUGAUAGAUCCAGUUUUCUCCUGUUGGCAAAACCAACAUUAGAUUGGUGAAAUGACAGGAUUAGAAGUGGAUGAGGAAAAUAAGGCACAGAGAGGUUAAGUAGGGUCAAAGAAACCCAAACUCACACUACAAAAUAAUGGCAUCACCACUGUCCACCUUGAUCAUCAAGGGCUUGUCCAGAUCAGAACUGGAUUUGUCUUGCUAUGUAUAUGUCUGUCAGGAAAUUUAUACCUAUUAAAUUUUCAUUUUCUCUAAGUAGUCAUGUUAUUGUACUGGUGUUUAGCUAUAACCUUCUUCAUAACAAAUAGUGUUGUGAGGAACAGUGUAGUGUGAAGUUUGUACAUUUGGGGGAUAGUUAUAAAAUGUGAACUCAUGGGAUGAGAAUGUUCAAUGAGGAAAUGACCUCAAGUAAGUGAAUUUGCAUGUUGAAACCCAUAGAGAAUAUGACACACCAAGCAGUGCCCCCAGCCAUAGAGCACUUUAGGUAUAUUAAAUGGUUAUAUGGUUAUGGUGCAAAAAUUCAUUUAGGAAAUAUGUAUUUGAGCACUUAAUAUGUCUAUUUUUGCCCUAAAGGAAAAAAAAAAACUUGUUUUAACUACAGUUACUUUCCUAGAGCAUGUUUUAGAGUAAUGUGUUUUGAUGCAUGUACAUUGUAUUUUAGGUAUGCAGAGAAACAAAUCGGAUUUAUUUACGUAAAAAUUAAAGUUAGUGGAUUUAUUACUCUUUAAAUCAUUAGUGUUUAAAGUAGUGCUAGCACAUUAGAAAACAGCCUCCUUUUGGACAAAAUGAAUUCACUGCUUUUGAUGCAGUUUCCCCCUUUAGAAUUAAAAAAAAAAAAGAUCCAACAUAUGUUGCAUGUGUUGCUGUUGUUUGACUGUCAGUUACUGGUGUCUUUGGUAUUGUGACCUCAUCUCUCAUGAAAGCAUAAUGCUGAAGUGGCCAGCUGUGGUGGCGCACGCCUGUAAUCCCAGCACUCGGGGCUGAGGCAGGUGGAUCGCUAGUUACACAGUGUCUGAGUGGUCAGAGUUUUAUCUUCUCCCCAUCUUCAACAUGAAGACAUCUAAGUCCCACCCCACUCCCAGCCAAAAGAUUUUUUUUUCUUUCUCUCUCUUUUUGUAAAAUUUCUAUCCUUGCAACUGAAUCCAGGGCUUUGCACAUGCCAGGCAAGUGCUCUCUCACUGAGCUACAUCUCCAC